rnacentral:rRNA from 1 species
GACGAACGCUGGCGGCGUGCUUAACACAUGCAAGUCGAACGGAAAGGCCCUGCUUUUGUGGGGUGCUCGAGUGGCGAACGGGUGAGUAACACGUGAGUAACCUGCCCUUGACUUUGGGAUAACUUCAGGAAACUGGGGCUAAUACCGGCUAGGAGCGCCUGCUGCAUGGGGGGGGUUGGAAAGUUUCGGCGGUUGGGGAUGGACGGGGGGCUUAUCAGCUUGUGGGGGGGGUAGUGGCUUACCAAGGCUUUGACGGGUAGCCGGCCUGAGAGGGUGACCGGCCACAUUGGGACUGAGAGACGGCCCAGACUCCUACGGGAGGCAGCAGUGGGGAAUAUUGCACAAUGGGCGGAAGCCUGAUGCAGAAACGCCGCGUGCGGGAUGACGGCCUUCGGGUUGUAAACCGCUUUCGCCUGUGACGAAGUGUGAGUGACGGUAAUGGGUAAAGAAGCACCGGCUAACUACGUG